rnacentral:rRNA from 1 species
GUGUCAGCCGCCGCGGUAAUACGUAGGUGGCAAGCGUUAUCCGGAAUUAUUGGGCGUAAAGCGCGCGUAGGCGGUUUCUUAAGUCUGAUGUGAAAGCCCACGGCUCAACCGUGGAGGGUCAUUGGAAACUGGGGAACUUGAGUGCAGAAGAGGAGAGUGGAAUUCCAUGUGUAGCGGUGAAAUGCGCAGAGAUAUGGAGGAACACCAGUGGCGAAGGCGGCUCUCUGGUCUGUAACUGACGCUGAUGUGCGAAAGCGUGGGGAUCAAACAGGAUUAGAAACCCGGGUAGUCC